AAAUAAUAAGCUUAAAGCAUUUGUUUUGAAAACAAAAGAUAGAAUUAUAUUCUAUUAACUU
rnacentral:tRNA from 1 species